rnacentral:rRNA from 1 species
UUUAAAAGCACUUUGAAAAGAGGGUGAAAAGAACCUGAAACCGUUACGUGGAGAGCGUAUUGCAGCAGAGUGAAGGGUGCGUUCUGUUCAGCCCAGGUUUUUCUGGGUGUAUUCAGUGCGUUACUCGCCAGUCGUGAGCUUCUGGUGGCCGAUCUUGGGCUGCUGGGGGUGGAGGGCUCCCUUUCGAGGUGAGGACGAUCUGGAUAAUGCUGCGAUUCGACCCGUCUUGAAACACGGACCAAGGAGUCUAGCGUAUCUGCGAGUCAAAGGGUGGUGAAACCUGAGGGCGCAGUGAAAGCGACUGUAAAACGUUUGCAGUUUGAGGCGGCAUACGAUCGUUGAUUGUAGGUCCGUCCUAGAGCAAAUAUGCUAGGACCCGAAAGAUGGUGAACUAUGCUUGAGUAGGGUGAAGCCAGGAGAAAUUCUGGUGGAAGCUCGUAGCGGUGCUGACGUGCAAAUCGCUCGUCUAACUUGAGUAUAGGGGCGAAAGACUAAUCGAACUAUCUGGUAGCUGGUUUCCUCCGAAGUUUCUCUCAGGAUAGCGGACCGAUUUGUUGUUGUUGUGUGC